rnacentral:rRNA from 1 species
CAGUAGCCGCGGUAAUACGUAGGUGGCAAGCGUUGUCCGGAAUUAUUGGGCGUAAAGGGCUCGCAGGCGGUUUCUUAAGUCUGAUGUGAAAGCCCCCGGCUCAACCGGGGAGGGUCAUUGGAAACUGGGAAACUUGAGUGCAGAAGAGGAGAGUGGAAUUCCACGUGUAGCGGUGAAAUGCGCAGAGAUGUGGAGGAACACCAGUGGCGAAGGCGACUCUCUGGUCUGUAACUGACGCUGAGGAGCGAAAGCGUGGGGAGCGAACAGGAUUAGAUACCCCAGUAGUCCCUGUCUCUUAUAA